rnacentral:rRNA from 1 species
GAUGAACGCUGGCGGCGUGCCUAAUACAUGCAAGUCGAGCGAACAGACGAGGAGCUUGCUCCUCUGACGUUAGCGGAGGACGGGUGAGUAACACGUGGAUAACCUACCUAUAAGACUGGGAUAACUUCGGGAAACCGGAGCUAAUACCGGAUAAUAUAUUGAACCGCAUGGUUCAAUAGUGAAAGACGGUUUUGCUGUCACUUAUAGAUGGAUCCGCGCCGGAUUAGCUAGUUGGUAAGGUAACGGCUUAUCAAGGCAACGAUGCGUAUCCGACGUGAGGGGGUGGUCGGCCACACUAGAACUGAGACGCGCUCCAGACUCCUACGGGAGGCAGCAGUAGCGUAUCUUCCGCAAUGGGCGAAAGCUUGACGGAGCAACGCCGCGUGAGUGAUGAAGGUCUUCGGAUCGUAAAACUCUGUUAUUAGGGAAGAACAAAUGUGUAAGUAACUAUGCACGUCUUGACGGUACCUAAUCAGAAAGCCACGGCUAACUACGUG